rnacentral:lncRNA from 1 species
GUAGGCAGUCCGGGCGGGGAGCGCCGUGGCCUUGGCCGCCGGGCGGGGGCGGGGGCGUCCCGGGUCCCCUCGGCCAAGGGUCAACGGCCGCCACCCGGGCCCCUGGGGUGCCGGUCGGCCCGGGGACCCUCGAGAGCUGCUGGCAUCGGUGUAAGCUCUGGGGCCCGGGCGGCGCGCCGGGGAGGCCGAGGCGGGGACGGCGGGGAUUGCGGGGAUUGCGGCACCUCUGACCUUUCACCCCCCGGGAAUCGCUUCCGCCGGGCGCCGCCGCCGCCCCCGCGCCUGGGAGGCCAGGGCCGCGGGGCGCGGUGGCAGCGGGGGUGGCCCACCCCAGCUCCCGGGCUGGAUCCCUCUCCCGGCGCCGCGGAGCGAUGCUCGGGUUUGGACGGGAUGUUUCGUAAAAUGCAAAGAACAAAGAGUUAAAUUGAAAAGGAAAUAAGGAAAAUGAAACCAGAACUUGAAGAUUUGGAAAAUUCUUAGCCUAACCACAUUGGAAAAUAAUAAGAAGGUAUUGUGGAGAGAGUGUCCAGGGCGUGACAGGAGUCACCUUGGAAGAGAGGCUGGUUGUGGGACUUCCGGUCCAGUUAGGCAUCCGGAAGGAGCCUGGCACAGGCAUAGCAUUACCCAGAAGGCUCUGGGGGACUCAUCUCAUGACGUAGAUUCCCAAGAGGUAGUGCACAGGAGGCCAGUAAGAUGGGACCAGGAGAAAGGCCACCAAGCUCAGAUGUAGAGGACAGAGACAGGAUGAGACCGAAGCCAGGCUUCGGGACUUCUGGGGCUCAGCAGGACAGGACCCCAGAGGUGGGCGGAGCAGGUAGGUCUGCCACUGUCACCCUGGCCGAGUGCACACGCCCCAGGAUGGCGGGGCUGUCACCUUGUUGGUUCUGGCAAGGUUGGGGUUACCCCUUUCAAUCUUAGUAAGAUUUAGUUGAAUAAUCAAGUUAAAAAUUGUACCUUUUUUUUUGGUACUGGGGAUUGAACUCAGGACCUUGUGCUUUUGAGGCAGGCGGCGGCAC